GCUCUAAUAAUAGAAAAUGAAGUUCUCCCAGUCUUAUGUAAGCCUCCCAACAUCUUUUUGUUAUUUUUGUUUAGUGCACACUGUGCCUACAAAGUUAUUAAUAUAAUUAAAAAUAUAAUAUAUAAUUUGAUUAUAUGAAAAAAAACUAAUCACAAAGAACAAAUAUCUGGACAUCUUCUUGUCUCCAAUAACGAAUAAGUACCUCCCAUUGAUCAGCUUUCACAUCC
rnacentral:lncRNA from 1 species